rnacentral:misc_RNA from 1 species
GAUGAAGAACGUAGCGAAAUGCGAUAAGUAAUAUGAAUUGCAGAAUUCAGUGAAUCAUCGAAUCUUUGAACGCAUCUUGCGCUCCUUGGUAUUCUGAGGAGCAUGCCUGUUUGAGUGUCAUUAAAUUCUCAACUACACUGACUUUGAAUUGGUGUGGCUUGGAUUUGGGGGGAAAAUUGUUGUGGGCUUUUUGUAUAGUCUGCUCCCCUGAAAUUGAUUAGCGGUACCUUUGUGGAACUGUCUACAGGUGUGAUAAUUAUCUACAUCUUAGACAUCUGCUGGAAUGCUGCUUUCUAAACCUUACUUGUAUUGACAAUCUUGACCUCAAAUCAGGUAGGACUACCCGCUGAACUUAAGCAUAUCAAUAAGCGGAGGA